GUAGAGAGCCAUUUUGCUUGAAGAAGCAAGCAUAAAGGAAGGACAGGGCAUUAUUUUAAAGAAUAAAACCCAGAGACAAAUACAUAUUGCAUUUGAUGGAAAACAAGCAAGAAGAGAAGCUAGAAAAGACAAGCUAAGCUUUCAUAGCUUCUAACCCUCUUCCUGGGUGCUCAGUGCUCCCUAGGUAACAGCAAUAACCAGGCAACAACAGCAGUAGCUCUUUGUAUCUAGAGGCUUUGGCAUCCUUUGGAAAUCACUCAUCAAAAUCAGCUGGGGACCAACAAGUGAAUCAGGUUUAGAGCUUAGUUCAGAUAAACAGAGUGAUAAAACAGAGUGCCCAAAUAUUAAAAAUUCUUAAGAAAAUAUACAACUGAAGAUAUCAGCUAGGAAGUUGAUGGUGAGAGAUCCAGAAUGCCAAAGAAAAGGCAGGAAUGUUAACAGUUUGUAGAUUGUGUAAGAAACUCUACAAAAAGGUAGCAGGAGGGCAGAAAUGCAACCACAGACAGGACUGAGGAGGAUCCAUUUAAAUUAAAAUGGUGCAGAAAAAUAGCAGCAUAGUUACAAGCUGAGGGAUGAAUUAAGACAGUGAGGUGGGAGGUUAUGUGCCUGAUGGGAUAUUGUGUGUACGCUAAAGAUAGUAGCUUUAGGAGUGGAAAACCUUGAGUGGAUAUGGGGGUGUGAGGUGACAGCCACACAGAAAGAAGGCAGGAGUAGUGGUAAGUAUUGAAGGGAAAUAAGGUUUUAAUGCUGCUCCAACCAUUCUGUGCCAGAGAUGAACAAACAGCAUAAAUAAUGAAGCUACAACUUUCAAAAUAACUUUAACAACCAAAGCAAAAGCUUGAUAAGUAAUAGAUUCUUUUAUCAAACAGUUGUUAUUGAUAGUGGUCAGUGUCAAGGGCAUCAAUAGCUCUAACUGCCCUGACCAGCCCCACCUGGGACCCAACCACACCCCCUCAGCUCCUUGCUCCAGGAACUCCAUUUAAGCUCAGGGCUGAGCACAUUCAUUUCUCAUAAAUCAUAGGUGAAUUAAUCUUCAGCUCUGUCUUCAGCCUUAUCUCUAGGAUGCCUCUUAUUUCUAUGUUGUAGGUGUGUUUCUGGUUUUUCUGCUGCUUCUGGAUGGAUCCUGCUACUAGUGCUUGGCUCUGCUGGCCCUGCUCAGGAAAUUUUCUUAGUCAUUUGCAUUCCUCUGCAGUAUAAUCAAAGAAUAUAUCUUAUGCCUUGACAGAGGGAGAGUGGCAAAAGGUUCUUAUGGCAAACAAAGGCAAAAAUCUUAAACAGACUUGUCAGAAAAAAGGACAAUAACAAUAGGAAGACAGAAGAUGAGAGUAUCUCUGAGCCUGGAAGCUCUCAAAGACAGGCACAGGAAUGGGUCCCCAUGCUGAGAACAAGCCAGUGCAGAAAGGAGGAGACCUGAGUGACAUUGAGAACUCAACUUGAAACGUCAAAGAUUCUCUUGCUAAAACAAAGGCUGACAUUGCCAGUACUGGAAUCUGCACAUAGGACAGUGUAAUCAUACCAGAACAAGUUCUGGUUUAAAGGCUUGUGUUACAAUGCUUUGUACUGUAAAUAGGC